rnacentral:tmRNA from 1 species
GGGGAUGCAAUGGUUUCGACGGGGAUUUUGAAAUCCGGGAUAGCCAUUGGAGGCGGGAGACUCCUUAAAAGCCCGACAAUUUAAAUAAUAAAAGACAACGAUAACGUUUGUUUAGCAGCCUAAUGCUGCUCGCUGACCUUAGAUAUUCCACAGUCUAAGACUCAGUGCCGACCUUGUGGAGCACUUUCGUUACAAAGCUUUGAGUAAUGAAAAGAUUUUAUGAAGCUACUGAAGACUAUAGCCUGUCUACCGGCAGUAGUCUGAGGGAAUGUUUAUAGAUAGACUGUAAUGGGAGAAGUCCCUGACGACGGAUUUUCGGACAGGGGUUCGAUUCCCCUCAUCUCCACUA